UCCAUAAGUGUGAGUGCGUGUGUGUGUCUGUCUGGCUGGCUGGCUGGCUGGCUGGCUCUGGUGCGAGUUGUCUGUUGACGCCUUCAGUCCGU
rnacentral:miRNA from 1 species